AGAACUUACGACCAGAGAUGUUUGCUUAACAACGGUGCGACUAGAACUACAAACCAGAGUGUCUGCAUAAGGACGGUCCAAUUAGAACUACGAAGCAGAGUUUUGCUUGACAACGGCAACCCUGUACUUUGAGUAUUUUUUGUUGCAGCUGGCUAGAGUGUCGCCGGAUUGUGCAGUACACAAGUCUUGUACAGUAUCCAGUCUUCUGGGCCAUGUAACAGUAGGAACAGAGACGAGACUAACGGCAACCAAUGAACAAGUUGAGGAUGUUUCAGUGUUGGAGGGGGAUUUGACUGACGA